rnacentral:rRNA from 1 species
GAGGGAUACCAGAAGUAGGUAGCUCAACCGCAAGGAAAGCGCUUACCACGGUGGGAUUCAUGACUGGGGUGAAGUCGUAACAAGGUAGCCGUAGGUGAACCUGCAGAAGGAUCA